ensembl:snRNA U6 U6 spliceosomal RNA
GUGCUUGCUUUAGCAGCAUAUAUACUAAAAAUGUAAAGAUACAGAGAAGAUUAGCAUGGCUGCUGUGCAAGGAUGAUAUGCAAAUUUGUGAAGAGACUGCCCUUUCC